GGCCCUUAGCUGACUCAACGGUACAGCAUCUGCUUGGCAUGUAGAAGGUCCCAGGUUCAAGCCCUGGCAUCUCCA
rnacentral:tRNA from 1 species